GUGCUAGCUUCGGCCGCACAUAUACAAAAUUGGAACAAACAGAGAAGAUUAGCAUGGCCCCAUGCACAAGGAUGACACACGAAUUCGUGAAGUGGUCCAUAUUUUU